rnacentral:misc_RNA from 1 species
GCCCUUGUCAUUCUUAUUGGAAACUUCACUUGAGGCAUCUUGGUCUUCAUGCAGCUUGACAGAAUUUCCAAGAAGGCAAUCUGUUUGAUGCGGGAACCCUUCUUGCAGUCUCUCGAUAAGCAAGAUCAUUUGGAGAACCCUAAACAGAGGCAUGAGUAGGAAAAAUUGGAAAUGGUAGAAAUUUAAAAGUAAUUGCAGCAAAA